AAGCCAGACUCCUACGGGAGGCAGCAGUGGGGGAUAUUGCACAAUGGGGGGAACCCUGAUGCAGCGACGCCGCGUGGGUGAAGGAGUGCUUCGGCAUGUAAAGCCCUAUCGGCAGGGAAGAGGCAAGACGGUACCUGACUAAGAAGCCCCGGCUAACUACGUGCCAGCAGCCGCGGUAACACGUAGGGGGCGAGCGUUAUCCGGAUUCACUGGGUGUAAAGGGAGCGUAGACGGCCAAGCAAGCCAGGGGUGAAAGCCCGGGGCCCAACCCCGGGACUGCCCUUGGAACUGCAUGGCUGGAGUGCGGGAGGGGCAGGCGGAAUUCCUGGUGUAGCGGUGAAAUGCGUAGAUAUCAGGAGGAACACCGGCGGCGAAGGCGGCCUGCUGGACCGUGACUGACGUUGAGGCUCGAGAGCGUGGGGAGCAAACAGGAUUAGAUACCCUAGUA
rnacentral:rRNA from 1 species